rnacentral:rRNA from 1 species
AGAACGAACGCUGGCGGCAUGCCUAACACAUGCAAGUCGAACGAGACCUUCGGGUCUAGUGGCGCACGGGUGCGUAACGCGUGGGAAUCUGCCCUUGGGUCCGGGAUAACAGUUGGAAACGACUGCUAAUACCGGAUGAUGACUUCGGUCCAAAGAUUUAUCGCCCAGGGAUGAGCCCGCGUCGGAUUAGCUAGUUGGUGGGGUAAAGGCCUACCAAGGCAACGAUCCGUAGCUGGUCUGAGAGGAUGAUCAGCCACACUGGGACUGAGACACGGCCCAGACUCCUACGGGAGGCAGCAGUGGGGAAUAUUGGACAAUGGGCGAAAGCCUGAUCCAGCAAUGCCGCGUGAGUGAUGAAGGCCUUAGGGUUGUAAAGCUCUUUUACCCGGGAUGAUAAUGACAGUACCGGGAGAAUAAGCCCCGGCUAACUCCGUGCCAGCAGCCGC